GAAGAAUAAGAGCUAUUAUUAUUCUUUAUGUCUUAUCCUCUUUUUUUUUUUUUAAACCAAGUUUCCUUCUAAGGGAAAUAAACACCAAAGGUAGGAUUCCAAGGAAAUGACUCACAGCGGCUGGCAGGGCUCUGGCGGGGCUGGCCCGGGCCCCCGCGCUCCAGCCCGCAGCAGAUGUCGGCCCGGCCCUCCCUCCCUCCCUUGCCGGCCAAACCCGCUGGAAGCCCGCGGUUGCGGGAGCGCCCUGCGCCCGUGGGACCUGGCGGCGAGGACGCCUAUUCCCUGCUUCUGCGACCACAGCUGGGCACUCGGAAAGUUGCUAGGGCCGAAGAGGCGGGAGGGGAGGAAGGGAAGAGAGAGGCGGAGGCGUGGACCAGGCGGGCAGCAGCCUCAGCCCGCCGGGGAGUGAUCCUCCGACUGUGAAAAACCAAACCUCUGGCUGCCUGGCUCCCUAGGAAUCAAGAAGAUGCACAGACUGAAAAUCAAGGGAGGAAGGAACAAGAUCAAGGAUGAGGAUUAGCAUCGGCAAAUUGAACUCUAUCUAAUUUGCAUGUUUAUUUCUUAGAAUUGUAAUUAAAUUUGUGUAAUAAAUGUUUUCCAUUUCAUUUGUACACUUAAAACUUGGGUGACUGACAUGCAGUUAAGUGAAUUUCCUUUUUUUUUAAAGCAAAUGUAGAUUAUUCAAUAAAGCAGCAAACCAAUAUUAAACAUAAUUAGAACUAA
rnacentral:antisense_RNA from 1 species